AGAUUUGACAAUUUCGGGUGAAUCGGUGAUUGUUAUUGCAAUCAUUUAGUAUCUAGAGAUUUCCUACAGGUCACUCGGGAUAAUUGUGAAGCUUGUUAACUUGUGUUUGGUGUAUCGUUGUGCUCGUCAUCAGGUCCAACAAUAGUGAGCAGGUAGAUGUGAGAAGAUGUGAGG